UGGCCACCUCAUGAGAAGAGAAGACUCCCUGGAAAAGACCCUGAUGUUACAUCCCUCCAAACCAUGGAGCACAGGGCUUUUUUUCAGCCCAAACUCACCACAACCUCAGGUGGGUGCCAUUGACAAGGGAGGCAUUCAUGGUACAGACGCCUGCGACUGAUUGUUGUCAUGACAAUAUGAGCAUUUUAAGGCAGAACAUUGCUGAACGGUGGAGUCUCAUUCCCCUUCCAAAUCCUCUUCUCAAAGCAUCUCAUCGAUCACAAGAACAAGCAUCACAAAACACCAAGCAAGACCAGGUCUGUCGCUUCAUGUAUUCUUUAUUUCAGUAUUUCAAAUAUCUCUCCCUGCCCCCACCCCACUGCCCAAACACACACACACCCCCCAAAAGAAGAAAAGGGGCAAAAAAACCCCUCUUUGAAAGCCACGUGCCCAUUCUACUUAUAUCAAGCAUUUUUAAAAAAUCCCUGCAAGGUGGUCUCUGCAGGGGGACUGCUUUUCAGUAGAAAUAGCUCUUUUCUCUCUCCUUUAGGGGGAAAGGGGCGAUUUGUGCACAGGCCUGCAGUGCCUCUGCUGUGCUGCAGAGGGAGCUGCUCUCCCUUGGAACCAGCUCUGCGCUUUGAAAUCUUUCAGGGCUUUCUUGCCUAGCCUCCUUCCCUUUACAGAUCCAAAAGAACAUUAUCAAAAGGCGGCUAAAUAUUACUAGAUUCACACACAGAGAAACACCUUGUACAAUCUAGUCAUAUAUGGGGGCAGGAGCCCAGGAGUCCAGCUCCCAGGCAAAACUGACCUGAACCCCCUUUUGCCAUUUAAAAAUAUCUGCCCGUCGGUUUGGAAAUCUCUUCUAAAAAUUGAA